CAGUUAUUGGGUAUCAAAACCUAAUAGCGAAAUUAACAUAACUUAUAUGGGAUUAGUUUUUAGAUUAUUUAUAGUCUAUUAAUUCAAUCCCGGGGCGUUCUAUUUGGUUAUGUAUAAUAAUAUUUAUAUUAUUUAUACCUCUAACUAGAGCGUACCUUGAGCAUAUAUGCUGUGACCCGAAAGAUGGUGAACUAUACUUGAUCAGGUUGAAGUCAGGGGAAACCCUGAUGGAAGACCGAAACAGUUCUGACGUGCAAAUCGAUUGUCAGAAUUGAGUAUAGGGGCGAAAGACCAAUCGAACCAUCUAGUAGCUGGUUCCCUCCGAAGUUUCCCUCAGGAUAGCUGGUGCAUUUAGAAAUUAUGUAAAAUAAUCUUAUCUGGUAAAGCGAAUGAUUAGAGGCCUUAGGGUCGAAACGACCUUAACCUAUUCUCAAACUUUAAAUGGGUAAGAACCUCACCUUUCUUGGUAUGAAGGUUGUGGUUGUGAUAUAAUGUGCCCAGUGGGCCACUUUUGGUAAGCAGAACUGGCGCUGUGGGAUGAACCAAACGUAAUGUUACGGUGCCCAAAUUAACAACUCAUGCAGAUACCAUGAAAGGCGUUGGUUGCUUAAAACAGCAGGACGGUGGACAUGGAAGUCGUAAUCCGCU
rnacentral:rRNA from 1 species